AGUGAACGCUGGCGGUAGGCCUAACACAUGCAAGUCGAACGGCAGCACAGUAAGAGCUUGCUCUUACGGGUGGCGAGUGGCGGACGGGUGAGGAGUACAUCGGAAUCUACUUUUUCGUGGGGGAUAACGUAGGGAAACUUACGCUCAUACCGCAUACGACCUACGGGUGAGAGCAGGGGAUCUUCGGACCUUGCGCGAUUGAAUGAGCCGAUGGCGGAUUAGCUAGUUGGCGGGGUAAAGGCCCACCAAGGCGACGAUCCGUAGCUGGUCUGAGAGGAUGGUCAGCCACACUGGAACUGAGACACGGUCCAGACUACUACGGGAGGGAGCAGUGGGGAUUAGUGGACAAUGGGCGCAAGCCUGAGCCAGCCAUACCGCGUGGGUGAAGAAGGCCUUCGCGUUGGAAAGCCCUUUUGUUGGGAAAGAAAAGCAGCAGGUUAAUACCGCGCUGUUCUGACGGUACCCAAAGAAUAAGCACCGGCUAACUUCGUG
rnacentral:rRNA from 1 species